CAAGAACAUGGGCUGCAGUUUUCAAGACCGCUAACAUCCUGGAGAGCAGGAUAGAACAAAGGUCCAGCUGAAAAGGAGAUUGGGCCCAGUCGUCUACCUUCUUCUCUGCUCUCCCACCACCACCCAGAAGCAUCCGGAGAAAGGGAUGAAAUGGAUCACACCCCAGCUGCCUUAACUUCUUU
rnacentral:lncRNA from 1 species